rnacentral:rRNA from 1 species
UACGUAGGGUGCAAGCGUUGUCCGGAAUUAUUGGGCGUAAAGGGCGCGUAGGCGGCUAGAUGUGUCAAAGGUGAAAUCCCUCGGCUCAACUGAGGAACUGCCUUUGAAACUGUCUGGCUUGAGGCCGGGAGAGGGUAGCGGAAUUCCCAGUGUAGCGGUGAAAUGCGUAGAUAUUGGGAGGAACACCAGUGGCGAAGGCGGCUACCUGGACCGGUUCUGACGCUGAGGCACGAAGGCUAGGGGAGCAAACGGG